CUCAGCAUAAAAACUCACUUCACUUCGCUUUCUCGCGCUUUCUCGCACUUUCUCUUCCGUUUUCCCUCUCUUUCUCGGCCGCAUGAGAUUGAGACGCGCGUCGUCACCUUGAAGAGAGAACCACGCAGAGAGAGAGAGAGAGAGAGAGAGAGAGAGAGAGAGAUGGAUUUCAUUGAAGGCGUGGGAGAGAGCUCCUCGCCACCGCGCAACUUCAGCGGUUUCGGCAACUACGACGUGAGGAACGAUGUGUACAAUCGCUUAGUGGAAACCGGUCACGAUCAAGCAGUGUCGAACCCCGAUUUUCGAGAACAGUUGGAGGCUCACUUCAAUCGCUUGCCUCCAAGUUAUGGGCUUGAUGUUAAUAUGGAUAGAGCUGAAGAUGUUCUAUUGCAUCAGAGUCUUCUUACAUUGGCAAGAGACCCUGAAAAGCGCCCUGUCUUCCAUGUCCGCUUCUUGGAGAAUAUUUCUACUCAAACAGAUGGUGAAGAUCAACAAAUUGUAAGUACUCAAUCUAGCCCAAGGCCAUCUUUUCUUACAACUAAUGGGGGAGCAGUAUCAUCUCAUAAGAGAACUAGGGAUCAUGCCAUUGACUUUGAGCCUUGCUCCAAGCUUGAGGACCUAAAUUUGGAUGUUAGAAAGAACUCCAAGGAGAUUGAGGGAAGAUUUCUCACUGACAACUUUUCCCAGAGGCAGGAAUAUUCAAAUGUCCCAAUUCAUGAAGUAAUAUUUUCCACCAUCGACAAGCCAAAGCUUUUAAGCCAGUUGUCGGCUUUGCUGUCUGAUAUUGGGCUUAACAUUCGUGAAGCACACGUUUUUUCCACAACUGAUGGUUACUCCCUCGAUGUAUUUGUGGUGGACGGAUGGCCAAUAGAGGAAACAGAUGGGUUGUAUGACGCAAUGGAAAAAGCUGUCGCGAGAAGUGAGGGGUCAUGGUCUCGUUCUUCAAAUUCCUAUUUGGCUGUGGAAAAACCCUUAGCAGCAGAGGCAACAUCUGGAGAUUGGGAAAUAGAUAGGAAGUUAUUGAAGAUAGGAGAACGAAUAGCAUCUGGAUCCGGUGGAGAUUUGUAUCGAGGAGUUUAUCUUGGUCAAGAUGUUGCUGUCAAGGUUCUGAGGUCUGAGCAAUUGAAUGAUGCUUUAGAGGAUGAGUUUUCUCAAGAAGUGGCAAUCUUGAGGCAGGUAAAUCAUAACAAUGUUGUUCGUUUCAUUGGUGCAUGUACAAAGUCUCCACAUUUGUUUAUAGUAACAGAGUAUAUGCCUGGAGGAAGUCUGUAUGAUUACCUGCACAAAAGUCAUAAUGUCUUGGAGCUGUCUCGAUUACUAAAUAUUGUGAUUGAUGUUAGCAAGGGUAUGGAGUAUUUGCAUAGAAACAACAUAAUUCACAGGGAUCUGAAGACGGCAAAUCUGCUGAUGGAUACACACAAUGUUGUUAAAGUAGCAGAUUUUGGAGUUGCUCGGUUCCUAAAUCAAGGGGGAGUGAUGACAGCAGAAACUGGAACAUAUAGAUGGAUGGCGCCAGAGGUUAUAAACCACCAACCGUAUGAUCAGAAAGCAGACGUGUUCAGCUUUUCCAUAGUACUAUGGGAGUUAGUGACAUCAAAGGUACCAUAUGAUGCUAUGACUCCACUACAAGCUGCCUUGGGUGUGAGACAGGAAAUAACUAUUUAUUAUGUUUGGAGUCAUAAACUUGGGGAUAAAAUUGCUAGAUUUCAUUUGUGCUUGAGAUUGUGUCUCGUUGGAGGAUAUAUCAUGAGGUCUACGCCCAGAACUUCCAAAGCAUGGGCACACUAAACUAUUAGAUUUGAUGCAAAGAUGUUGGGAAGCAGUUCCAAUCAACCGGCCAUCCUUCCACGAGAUAACAGUCAUACUUGAGAAUCUUUUGCAAGAAGUUGAGAAUGAUUCACAAGCUAAUGAUGAUGCUUGACAUUUUCUGAUAAAAUAUUAGAUUCCAGUUAUUGUCAGGCAGUUGGGUGAGAAUCUGGCUUUUUCUUGUUUCUGUUUUUUUGGCUAUUCAAGCUAGAGUUUUUCAUGUUCCUUUUUUGCACUGUGGGAAAAAGGAGUUCACAAAAGCUGACCAAUACAAAGAGAGAAAUUGUAAAGAAACAUACUAAUGUUAUAGUUGAUAAUACAUCCGAUAUAUAACCAAGGCAAAAUCAUGUUAAACUGCAUUGUAAAAAGUUGUUUUCUUUUAAGGAGAGAAAUGUGUUCCACCCGGCUAUUCAAAUGGGUUCUCUAGUAAGUGAACUUCAAUUGUUGUAAAAAGUCAAUGAAGGACCUGGUCGAAUUUUUAGACCACGUUAAUAGUAGUUUGGGUUUGAUUUUCAGGUUUUCCUCUUUUGGUAAAUAAUAUAUAAUUUUACCAUAAACCCUCGUUGAGGUUGGAGGUUGGUAGUCUUCACUUACCUUGCAAUUUAAACUCUC